rnacentral:lncRNA from 1 species
GAGGUGGGGUAAAGAGUCCUAAUGGUCCUAGACUCUUACAGGAUUCUGCCUCCUUUCACAAUUCUACAUCCAAAAAUAUAUCAAAAAAAUAUGGGAUACUUCUUCUCAUAUUGUUUUGUAGUAAAUCAAUUCUCCAACUAAUCUCCCAUAAAAAAUCUCAUCAAAAUGUAUCACAUAUAAAGAGAAAAAAAAUUAUUGGCAU